rnacentral:rRNA from 1 species
GUAGGUGGCAAGCGUUGUCCGGAAUUAUUGGGCGUAAAGCGCGCGCAGGCGGUUCUUUAAGUCUGAUGUGAAAGCCCACGGCUCAACCGUGGAGGGUCAUUGGAAACUGGAGAACUUGAGUACAGAAGAGGAAAGCGGAAUUCCACGUGUAGCGGUGAAAUGCGUAGAGAUGUGGAGGAACACCAGUGGCGAAGGCGGCUUUCUGGUCUGUAACUGACGCUGAGGCGCGAAAGCGUGGGGAGCAAACAGGAUUAGAUGCCCUGGUAGUCCACGCCGUAAACGAUGAGUGCUAAGUGUUAGGGGGUUUCCGCCCCUUAGUGCUGCAGCUAACGCAUUAAGCACUCCGCCUGGGAGUACGGCCGCAAGGCUG